rnacentral:lncRNA from 1 species
UACACAACCUCAAAGACCCAUCAAUUUUUCUUGUGAACAUGACUUCGGCACCCCAAUAGGAUAUGUUAUAUCAAAUGAACCCAUUAUUUUGUAACUCCUUGAUCUUUCUCAUCAAUUCUUCCAUCUCGACAUGAUUCAUUUGGUAUAAGGAUUGGGUGUCAAGCUAAAGAUUUAUAUCAAAUUUGACUUCUCGAUCUACUGGCAGUUCUACUAGUUCAUCAAGGAAUACGUCUGAAAAAUAUCAGAUAACAGGAAUAUCUUGAAUACAAAUAUCUCUUUCUUAGGUUUGCCUAGCGUAAAAGGAAUAGCUGAGUUAAAAGCGUUU